rnacentral:rRNA from 1 species
UCCUGAACCGCAGCCUCGCUGGUCGCCUGAGCUCAGAUUCAGCCAAGCAAGGUUGGGCCGGUUAGUUAUUGGGAUGGGAGGCCACCUGGAAAUGCCAGGUGUUGCAGGCC